rnacentral:lncRNA from 13 species
UAAAUGAGGUGAUAAGGGGAGAGCCCUGAUUCAACAGGAUAAUGUCAUUAUAAGAAGAGACAUCAGAGAGAUCACUCCUUCUCUUUCUACCAUGCAAGGGCAAAGUGAAAGGACGGCUAUCUACAAGCCAGGAGGAGAGUCCUCACCAGAACCAAACCCUGCUGGACCUUGAUUUUGGACUUCUUAGCCUCUAAAACUGUGAAAAUAUUAAAUUUUUGUUGUUUAACCUGCACAGGUCUGUGGUAUUUGUUUAUUAUGGCAGCCCAGGCAGUCUAAGACAGGCCAUCAUAAGACGUGAACGUUUUGGACCUUCUCUUGUGAUCUAAUAAACAGAAAUCAGGAAACAGAAGGAAGUCUAACUGAGACCUCAGGGCUUAUUGUUGCAAGCGAAAAGCAGGCUGAAAGAAAAGUUGAGUCAUUGAAAAUGGUAUCUACAUUUACUUUCCCUUUUAUUUGUAUUCUUUGCUCUUGACUUUAAAUUCUUUUGAUUCCAGAAGGAAGAAAACUUUGUGAGUGUGCUGCCAAGCCUCACUUUUC